rnacentral:rRNA from 1 species
CCUACGGGAGACAGCAGUGGGGAAUAUUGCACAAUGGGGGAAACCCUGAUGCAGCGACGCCGCGUGAGUGAAGAAGUAUUUCGGUACGUAAAGCUCUAUCAGCAGGGAAGAAAAUGACGGUACCUGAGUAAGAAGCCCCGGCUAACUACGUGCCAGCAGCCGCGGUAAUACGUAGGGGGCAAGCGUUAUCCGGAUUUACUGGGUGUAAAGGGAGCGUAGACGGCAGUGCAAGUCUGAAGUGAAAUGCCGGGGCUAAACCACGGGACUGCUCUGGAAACUGUACGGCUGGAGUGCAGGAGAGGUAAGGGGAAUUCCGAGUGUAGCGGUGAAAUGCGUAGAUAUUAGGAGGAACACCAGUGGCGAGGGCGGCUUACUGGACUGUAACUGACGUUGAGGCUCGAAAGCGUGGGGAGCAAACAGGAUUAGAUACCCGUGUAGUC